CGCUUCUGAUAUAUUUUCCAAUGUCUUUACAAGUAACAACAACAGUUUGAUAUUAUAACCUAUGUUUAAUUAUGGUUAUGAAGUACCACUUGUGUUUAUCAAUUUUGCAAAACGCCAAAAUGGGGUAGACUUUGCCCACCCUAGCUAUCUCAUUAUGGAAAGUUCCCAUGUAACCUGAUGAUAAUGAGAUAUUUUAUACAUACAUUUAUAAAUCCCCCCUUCUUGCUCAGAGAAAGCUAAAACACCAUUACUG
rnacentral:lncRNA from 1 species